AUGCUCCGGUCUGAUUUUGCGGUGCACGCGGAGCUGCUGGGCUCUGAUCUUCACUGCAUGACUUCCUCCCAAGUGGAGGACUCAAUUAAGACGCGUCGCAAGGUCUCUGACUGCUUGCAAGGCUGGCUGGUGCGUGUUGGAAGUUUUCUAGAGCGUGCGGAGGUUGCUCUACAAAGGCUCUCUUUACCAGCACCCUUGGAUGAGGUGGGUGUGUAUCUCUUUGGUAGCCUCUUGCCUCAUGUUGGGUCCAAUUCGAUGCCCCCUGUAUUAUCAGACUUUGAGGGUGAGACCCCCGCCAAGGUUGUGUCUGAUGACCCAAAAGUAUAG
rnacentral:rRNA from 1 species